UGUAGCUUAGUAGUAGAGCACCUGCCUAGCAAGUAUGAUGCCCUGAGUUUAAACCUCAGCA
rnacentral:tRNA from 1 species